AUGUUUGACACUCACUGCUGUCAAUCACAGUGCAAAGAUCUGGAACCACACUGAACCCACUCCAGUGAGGGCUCUCAUUCACGGGUAAAAAAAUAAUAAAUAUAUAUAUAUAUAAUUAUGCUUUAAUUCCGCUACAGAUCCCCAAUGAAGAACCCUUUCUUCCUGUUUGGAAACCACUAUGAUAUUCUACCAUCAGACACAAGAAAUUGAUGAAAUGGAGCUGCAAUACACAUGCGUUGUGACAAAGAGACUUAAAACAGUACAACUCUGAACAGAGGUCAAAGGUCGACUCUACAGGAAGCUGUAGAAUGUGACAAACCACAUGGAAUAAGUCAGCUGACUGCAACAUUUACACCUGCUGUGUGUUACAUGCCUGUGUCUGCAGUUGUCGAUCUCCACCUGGUUUUUGGAACAGCUGAAUAAGAUCUGAUCAUCACCCACAUUAGUGCAUUACAUUAAUUGUUUAACGAUCCACAAAAUGUAAUUUUUUUUUUUUAAUCAAUAAUCCAUUUAUCUAUUUAUUUUAAAGGUCAUGUCAACUAUUCAUCAUCACAAAAUAAAUCCUCUUGAGUUUUGUUGC